AUGGACUAUCUAAAAGAUUACAAAGAUAAGAAAGUUUUCGUGAAAACCCCUACAGGUAAGACCAUCAUAUUCAACGUUGAACCCUCAGACACUACAGAAAAUGUAAAGGCCAAGAUUGAGGAUAAGGAAGGAAUUCCUCCUGAUCAACAAAAGCUGAUCUUUGCUGGUAAGCAACUGGAAGAUGGACAUACUUUGUCUGACUACAAUAUCCAAAAGGAGUCUACCCUUCAUCUUGUAUUAAGACUCCGUGGUGGUGCUAAGAAAAGGAAGAAGUCUUACACCACUCCCAAGAAGAAUAAGCACAAGAGAAAGGUGACGUUGGCUGUCCUAAAAUACUACAAGGUGGAUGAAAAUGGCAAAAGUAGCCAUCUUCAUGAGAGUGCCCUUCAGAUGAAUGUGGUACUGGAGUUUCUAUGGCCAGCCCCCUUGACAGACAUCGUUGUGGCAAGUGUUGUCUGACUUACUGCUUCAACAAACCAGAAGACAAAGAAUUAUGA